UGACAUAAAAAAAUAUGUUUGUUUGAUGGGGAAGGAGGACGAGUUUAGAUGACAUUGUCUACAUUUUGACCAGCACUGGUAGAGCUAAGAAUCUGACUUUUUCAUUCCAAUUAGAUAAUUCAAAGACGCAAUAAGCCAGUUUUGACCACUAGGAUGCAGAAGAACUCUGCAAGAAGCUGACAAAAACAGCCCAGAGGUCCUGGAAGUCCUGUUAGCCCUGGUGGACCCUGCAACCCCUGGGGAAAGAGUGAGGUCUUAGUCCUGCCCCAUGCAGUGUGGCUGUGUAUGCAGGAGGCUGGUUAGCUGCUUUAAAAGGCUGCAG